rnacentral:rRNA from 1 species
GACGAACGCUGGCGGCGUGCUUAACACAUGCAAGUCGAACGGAAAGGCCCUGCUUUUGUGGGGUGCUCGAGUGGCGAACGGGUGAGUAACACGUGAGUAACCUGCCCUUGACUUUGGGAUAACUUCAGGAAACUGGGGCUAAUACCGGAUAGGAGCUCCUGCUGCAUGGUGGGGGUUGGAAAGUUUCGGCGGUUGGGGAUGGACUCGCGGCUUAUCAGCUUGUUGGUGGGGUAGUGGCUUACCAAGGCUUUGACGGGUAGCCGGCCUGAGAGGGUGACCGGACACAUUGGGACUGAGAUAAGGCACAGACUCCUACGGGAGGCAGCAGUGGGGAAUAGUGCACAAUGGGCGGAGGCCUGAUGCAGCAACGCCGCGUGCGGGAGGACGGCCUUCGGGUUGUAAACCGCUUUCGCCUGUGACGAAGCGUGAGUGACGGUAAUGGGUAAAGAAGCACCGGCUAACUACGUG